rnacentral:rRNA from 1 species
GACGAACGCUGGCGGCGUGCUUAACACAUGCAAGUCGAACGAAGAGCGGUGGAAGCUUGCUUCUAUCAAUCUUAGUGGCGAACGGGUGAGUAACGCGUAAUCAACCUGCCCUUCAGAGGGGGACAACAGUUGGAAACGACUGCUAAUACCGCAUACGAUCUAAUCUCGGCAUCGAGGAUAGAUGAAAGGUGGCCUCUACAUGUAAGCUAUCACUGAAGGCGGGGAUUGCGUCUGAUUAGCUAGUUGGAGGGGUAACGGCCCACCAAGGCGAUGAUCAGUAGCCGGUCUGAGAGGAUGAACGGCCACAUUGGGACUGAGACACGGCCCAGACUCCUACGGGAGGCAGCAGUGGGGAAGCUUCCGCAAUGGACGAAAGUCUGACGGAGCAACGCCGCGUGAGGGAUGACGGCCUUCGGGUUGUAAAGCUCGGUUAAUCGGGACGAAAGGCCUUCUUGCGAAUAGUGAGAAGGAUUGACGGUACCGGAAUAGAAAGCCACGGCUAACUACGUG